UUCUUGCAAUAUAAAUCUCAUCCACUUAAUUUUAUAUAAAUGCUGUUUUUAUUUUAUUUUUUAUUCAAAAAAAUUAUAUUUGCAUUGAAAAAAAAUGUUGUAUUCAAUAUUAAGGGUAAAUGACAAACUGUAAGAUUUGUUUUCCCUUAUAAACAUGCCUUAAAAUUAUGUGCACACUGCAAAGAUGGUCUGACAAAGCACCUCAAAUCCUAAUAAUAAUCAUAAUAAUAAUAAAGUUUUUGGGUGAUUGCUUGCGUGAUAAAAUUAAAACAAACGUGAGGAUAACGCAUAAGCACAAAAAAAUGAACGAGACAAACACUGACUUGCAAUAAAUUGGAAAAAGAACAAGAGGGAUGUCACAUAAGACGUUAUCCAAGCAGGUUAUUACUUAUUCAAACAAAUGCUGCAAUGAAUCUCAUGGCCAUUGUGUAGUGGUGCUCAAAGUCAUACAACAUGCAUGAAGCAUUUCUAUAGUUUGGAGUGCACACUCUGUGCCAAACACCAGGUGCUCAUUUAGCCAUUCAAGCUCUAAGGACCUCCAAUAUCAUUUCGUCACUUUUUUUGGACAUCUAGUGUGAAUAUUUAAACAAAAAAAGGCUCGAGUCCAACCCCUUUUAAAUAAAAUUCACCAUGUUACCGUAGACCAGGUGUUAGGAGUGGAAAACAAAACUUAAAUAGGGUAAAUAAAGUAAUUAACAUUAGAGAGUUAAAAAAAAAAAGAUUUCGUUUGGCAUGCGUGUUUAGAAGUGUCAACAAAAACGAGGCGUGUGAUACAAAUUAAAAACGUAGAAGAAGAAUUAAGACGAAGAAGAACCCGGAAGUAAAAUGGACCACUUAAAAAGCACAAUUUCAUUUACACCCAGUUCCUACGCACAUACUAAAAAAAACCAAAACAUAAUGUAUAUAUGUAUAUACACACACCAUUUAACCAUACGUUUUGUCCAAGUCCAUGCGAAUUGCUGUGUUGUAUUUUACGCAGCCAUAUUCGUGGCCAAAUAGCAAAACAAGAAGCAGUUCCCCAAUUUGGCCCCGUACCCAUUUUAGGCCCGUAGCUCAACACACACACAUGCACACGCUCACAUUCGUGAGUGGAAACAUCAUCGUUGGCCGUGGAAACCUCCCUGGAUUACUCAAGAGCGUUCCCUUGGUGACUGCAUGAGAUCUCGAAUAACAUCUACACACACGCCCGGAAGUUGAACACCAACAAGCAUCUGCGCUGAGGGUGUCUCACCUGGCGGGAAUGUGACACCUGUGGAUCUUCUCUUUUGUGUCCUUGGACCGGCUGCGGCAGACAAAUACCAGUGAUGGCAAAGAGGGGAAACACGUGAUGAUGGCCACAGAAGCUGAAACUGCGACGUAGCAAAGCGGUCCUGGCUGCUCAGUACUGCAUCAGUGCAAAGUCAGUUGACUGUUUUCUGUGAAGAAACGUACCUCCCAGGCUUAUGAAUCCUCCCUCUGCUUCACACUUUCUCAAAGUUAAUAGUGAGUACACAAUUUAUUGUUUUCAAUGUCAUAUCGUGGUUAACUUACACUUAUACUUGCACGACAGUUAAGAAUGUGUGCAGGAAGCCUCCUUA